rnacentral:rRNA from 1 species
GAUGAACGCUGGCGGCGUGCCUAAUACAUGCAAGUCGAGCGAACAGAUAAGGAGCUUGCUCCUUUGACGUUAGCGGCGGACGGGUGAGUAACACGUGGGUAACCUACCUAUAAGACUGGGAUAACUUCGGGAAACCGGAGCUAAUACCGGAUAACAUUUGGAACCGCAUGGUUCUAAAGUGAAAGAUGGUUUUGCUAUCACUUAUAGAUGGACCCGCGCCGUAUUAGCUAGUUGGUAAGGUAACGGCUUACCAAGGCAACGAUACGUAGCCGACCUGAGAGGGUGAUCGGCCACACUGGAACUGAGACACGGUCCAGACUCCUACGGGAGGCAGCAGUAGGGAAUCUUCCGCAAUGGGCGAAAGCCUGACGGAGCAACGCCGCGUGAGUGAUGAAGGGUUUCGGCUCGUAAAACGCUGUUAUUAGGGAAGAACAAACGUGUAAGUAACUGUGCACGUCUGGACGGUACCUAAUCAGAAAGCCACGGCUAACUACGU